rnacentral:miRNA from 1 species
ACGACCAAAACUUAGGAUGUC